rnacentral:lncRNA from 1 species
GAGAUUUGGAGCUUAGAAGAAAGGCAGGAGUUGAUAUUGUACAAAGAUCCUAAUGAAGAUUAUAUAACCUUGGAUGGUUUUGCGUAUUUAUUUGGGUGUUCGGAUAUACCCGAUCGGGUUCGGGUACCCAAUUCAUUUAUUAUAAACAUCCAACCGGAUAUUUUGUAUGAAAUAUACCCAACCUAAACUGUUUACAUCGGGUCGG